rnacentral:rRNA from 1 species
UCCUACGGGAGGCAGCAGUGGGGAAUAUUGGGCAAUGGGCGCAAGCCUGACUCAGCGACGCCGCGUGAGGGAAGACGGUCUUCGGAUUGUAAACCUCUUUCAGCAGGGAAGACAAAAGGACGGUACCUGCAGAAGAAGCCACGGCUAACUACGUGCCAGCAGCCGCGGUAAUACGUAUGGUGCAAGCGUUAUCCGGAUUUACUGGGUGUAAAGGGAGCGCAGGCGGUGCGGCAAGUCUGAUGUGAAAGCCCGGGGCUCAACCCCGGGACUGCAUUGGAAACUACCGAACUA